UUGACGACGUGUGUUCAGUGAAAUCGAGUAGGGCGGGACACGUGAUAUCCUGUCUGAAUAUGGGGGGACCAUCCUCCAAGGCUAAAUACUACUGACUGACCGAUAGUGAACCAGUACCGUGAGGGAAAGGCGAAAAGAACCCCUGUGAGGGGAGUGAAAUAGAACCUGAAACCGUGUACGUACAAGCAGUAGGAGCAGGCUUUGUCCUGUGACUGCGUACCUUUUGUAUAAUGGGUCAGCGACUUAUAUUCAGUGGCAAGGUUAACCAUCUAGGGGAGCCGUAGGGAAACCGAGUCUUAACUGGGCGUUCAGUCUCUGGAUAUAGACCCGAAACCAGGUGAUCUAGCCAUGGGCAGGUUGAAGGUUGAGUAACAUCAACUGGAGGACCGAACCGACUAAUGUUGAAAAAUUAGCGGAUGACUUGUGGCUAGGGGUGAAAGGCCAAUCAAACCUGGAGAUAGCUGGUUCUCCCCGAAAGCUAUUUAGGUAGCGCCUCGGACGAAUACUACUGGGGGUAGAGCACUGUUAAGGCUAGGGGGUCAUCCCGACUUACCAACCCUUUGCAAACUCCGAAUACCAGUAAGUACUAUCCGGGAGACACACGGCGGGUGCUAACGUCCG
rnacentral:rRNA from 1 species